GACGUAGGGCGCGAGCGUUGUCCGGAAUCAUUGGGCGUAAAGGGCGCGUAGGUGGCUUCUUAAGCGUGCGGUGAAAGCUCGGGGCUCAACCCCGAGUCGGCCGUGCGAACUGGGCUCACUGGAGCAUAGUAGAGGCAGGUGGAAUUCCGGGUGUAGCGGUGGAAUGCGUAGAGAUCCGGAAGAACACCGGUGGCGAAGGCGGCCUGCUGGGCUAUGGCUGACACUGAGGCGCGACAGCGUGGGGGAGCAAACAGGG
rnacentral:rRNA from 1 species